GCCCAAGAAGCUGUGUCUCCUGACUCAUUCCUUAGAGUGCAGUUCCAGGGCAAUGUUAAGAACUUGGUCUUUUCUGGAAGACUUUGGGUGAUUGCAAUAUUUAUUCCAUAUCCUGUUUUAAUAUGUUGUAUUAUACAUCUGAAUAAGAAGAUCACUUUUGAGAAAAAAUACCACCUUCAAGUUGGCACAUCAUCUCUCAUCUGAAAUGCAGUGGAGCAGGAGCCUGGAGU
rnacentral:lncRNA from 1 species